GUUAUAGAUUUUACAUUUUUUUAACGCCCCAACUGACAUUACCGGGCUGGACAUACAUCAAGCUGUAUCUAAUUACCUCGAGAGCAACGAAGCCAUAAUUUCCAUAACUAUUUUGCCUAAAACACAGAACGCAAAAUGUUCAACGGGAUUAAUCGAAUUUAAUGACGUCGCCCAUGCAGUAAAAGCUGUCUUAAAGUCUAACCAUUUGCUUAUGAAAUCGUCAAAGUACAAGUACCCGUUUCUGAUGAAAUUGUGUUUUUCAAAUUAUUAUGAAAUCAAACAAAUUUUCAAUAGUAAUAAUUGUUCGGCGAAUGUGAAGACACCACUACUGCAAUGCCGGUCCAUGCGUUGCACACCUUGGGUUUUACACAAUUCCGAACAAGCUACAGCUACUACACUGUUUUCAAUAUCUUGGACCAAAGUUGUGAACGAUAACGACCCGUGGACUCUGAGACAGGUCGUAGAGUCGAGUGAACACAAAUGGGUGUUUGCAAAAGAUGACGACAUAACGACAAAAAACAAUCGCACUGAAGUUCUAGAUAUGCUCAAGAACAUAAUUUUAGAACACAAUGAUGCACGUGACAACGUGGACGACAAAGGCGAUAACGUCGACAACGUCGAACAUAGUGACGUUAACAAGA